CUACGGGUGGCAGCAGUGAGGAAUAUUGCACAAUGGGGGGAACCCUGAUGCAGCAACGCCGCGUGGAGGAUGACGCAUUUCGGUGUGUAAACUCCUUUUAUAUGUCAAGAAAAUGACGGUAGCAUAUGAAUAAGCACCGGCUAACUCCGUGCCAGCAGCCGCGGUAAUACGGAGGGUGCAAGCGUUACUCGGAAUCACUGGGCGUAAAGGACGCGUAGGCGGGUUGGAAAGUCAGGUGUGAAAUCCUACAGCUUAACUGUAGAACUGCACUUGAAACUUAUAAUCUAGAGUAUGGGAGGGGGAGAUGGAAUUAGUGGUGUAGGGGUAAAAUCCGUAGAUAUCACUAGGAAUACCUAAAGCGAAGGCGAUCUCCUGGAACAUUACUGACGCUAAGGCGUGAAAGCGUGGGGAGCAAACAGGAUUAGAUACCCUCGUAGUC
rnacentral:rRNA from 1 species